UUUAUGUGUGUAGAUAGUUUACUUAGAGAAAGUCAACUAUUAGGACCAUGAUGGAAGGUAUAUUAUGUGUUUUCGUACUGCUUAUUUAACAAUGUAAUUCAAUAUUUUUGCAUUCAUUUACCACUGAAAAUGAUUUGCUGCUAUAUUUAUUUGAAACUAGUUGAUGCAUUAUACAAUUAUGCUAUUAAUCAAUAAUUCACUUUUGUCAAAUGUUUCUCUUUGCAUGUCAAGUUACAGCUGCUCCAAUAAAAGCUUUUUUUUUGCUGAACUAGUCAAGCUUCUCUUCUCGUGUCUUCACUAGUAGGUCAGUUUCUUUUGCUAGCUUUAUGCAUUUCUCAUUUCAAAUUUGGUUCAAUAUCUAACGAUUAUCAACGUUUUUUAUGUUGUUUCAAAAUAAGAGACACAUAACUUUGUUUUGGUUUUGGGAGAGUUACCUAUACAUAGGGAAGACAAAGAAUGUUCUAUUUGUAUCCCUCUUUUUUGCUUUUAAAUGCAUGACACCAGAUUUACCUAUAUUGCGGAGACUGAAUAUUUUUCUAUAAUUUCAUGCAUUUUGAACCAGUUCUUCAUAGGGGUGGCAGGGGUAGUACAAGCUUGUUCAUGCUAUGUUAAUAGUCCUUGUAGAAUGAGGUGAAGAGCACCUGUAACUAUUUUUCAGAUUGGUGAGUAAAUCAAUUAUAAAAUUAUGUAGAGAUAUUUUUUGAGUCACUGGUACCUAAUAAUUUUAUAGGACUUGUUUAAUUUUCCAUGUUCUGUUUGUAUGUUGAUUAAUUUUCUCAUUGGAUUCAUCUCUAACUGAAUAGUAACAAAAUUGAGGCCAUUUAGAUAUAGAAUAUUAAUUUUGACUUUUCUAGUCAUAUUUUCUUCUCUUUUCUAUGUCACUAUUCAGCUUUUCUACUGGUACCAUAGAAUUAGGAGUGCUGAUUGGAAAAGGUGGCUAUUUUGGAAAUGUAUUAAAACUACACCUCUCUUAUGUUUCAGCCAAGAAGAUGCAGGUUACAUAUAUCUCUAAUUCUCUCUCUUGUUAACAUUACAUAAAUAAAUAGUUCUAGUGAAUGUCUUGUAACUUUUUAAUUUUUUUGGGUGCAAAUUUCCUAGUGGAUGCUAUGCACUACACAUUAUCUAAAAUGUUAAGCUUAAAUUAGAUGCAAGUGUUGGUUGAACCUACAAUUAUCAAUGGCUUCUUUCUUUGCAGAUAUAUUAAUACCGGUCUUGGUUCAGGUUGGAAUUAGGUGGCUGCAAUUAUUUAAUUAUGGUAUUGGUGAGCUUAGAAAGUAAGGAUUUGUUGGGCUGUUGCUCGAGGACAAUAUUCAAGACUAUUAAAUGAAAUCAUAUUUAUAGUUAGUGAGAUUUAAGCAUUCUGGUUUCAUGAUAUGACAUUUGUGUAGUCUAUGUAAUUCCAUUUGUACUUUCUUAUCUGUUGUAUCAUUUCAUAUAGGUUGUAGUUUUUUUGUUAAGAGCGUUGGAUCUUGAUUUAGGUGUAGUUCUGCAUAUUGUCAAUGCUGAGCAACUAAUGGAAUAUUUUGUAAUUUUGGCACUUCAAAAUAUUUUGUGUGCUUUGUGGUUGUCUUUCCUUUUAAUGCAAGUGUUGUUUAUUCAAAACAAUAAAAUAGAUUAUUAUCUAUUUAGAC
rnacentral:lncRNA from 1 species